UGGCUCUCGCAUCGAUGAAGAACGCAGCGAAAUGCGAUAAGUAAUGUGAAUUGCAGAUUUUCAGUGAAUCAUCGAAUCUUUGAACGCACCUUGCGCUCCUUGGCAUUCCGAGGAGCAUGCCUGUUUGAGUGUCAUUAAAUUCUCAACCCCGAUCGAUUUGAAACUCGACUUCGGAGGCUUGGAUCUUGGGGGUUUGCUGGCGUUGCCGUCGGCUCUCCUUAAAUACAUCAGCGGAAGCUUCUUUGCUUUCUGGCCGUUGGGUGUGAUAAUCAUGUCUCGCCGCCGCCGGGUUUCAAAGGUCCGCUUAGAAUUCGACAGACCGUCUUUCGGACGAUCUCAUCUUACCAAUCUUGACCUCAAAUCAGGUAGGACUACCCGCUGA
rnacentral:misc_RNA from 1 species